rnacentral:rRNA from 1 species
AUGCAACAUCUCAUCUGGACCUCGGAUAGGCGAGCGAGGCAUGGGUUGCAGGAUCAGCCUUCGGCAUGCUAUACGUGCCUCCAAGAGGAGGACAAUGCGGAACACAUCUUGGUCCAGUGCGUGUAUGCUACGGAAGUGUGGCAUAUCAUGUUCGACACUUUGGGUCUGCAAGCUACCAUCCCAGAAGUGCAUGACCACCUCUUGGAUUGGUGGUUGACGCAGAGAGAGAGGGAGUGGGGGAUCCAAGAGGGGUUUCGACACGGUCGUUAUUGCGGUCAUCUGGGCACUUUGAAAGCAGCGUAA